rnacentral:rRNA from 1 species
AGUGAACGCUGGCGGUAGGCCUAACACAUGCAAGUCGAACGGCAGCACAGUAAGAGCUUGCUCUUACGGGUGGCGAGUGACGGACGGGUGAGGAAUACAUCGGAAUCUACUUUUUCGUGGGGGAUAACGUAGGGAAACUUACGCUAAUACCGCAUACGACCUACGGGUGAAAGCAGGGGAUCUUCGGACCUUGCGCGAUUGAAUGAGCCGAUGUCGGAUUAGCUAGUUGGCGAGGUAAAGGCCCACCAAGGCAACGAUCCGUAGCUGGUCUGAGAGGAUGAUCAGCCACACUGGAACUGAGACACGGUCCAGACUCCUACGGGAGGCAGCAGUGGGGAAUCUUGGACAAUGGGCGCAAGCCUGAUCCAGCCAUACCGCGUGGGUGAAGAAGGCCUUCGGGUUGUAAAGCCCUUUUGUUGGGAAAGAAAAGCAGCAGGUUAAUACCCCGCUGUUCUGACGGUACCCAAAGAAUAAGCACCGGCUAACUUCGUG